AGUGAAGCGGGAUGAGCUCAAAUUUAAAAUCUGGCUGGUUUACUAGUCCGAAUUGUAGUUUAAAGAAGUGUUUUCGGUGGCAGCCUGGGUAUAAAUCCUUUGGAACAGGGUAUCAUAGAGGGUGAGAAUCCCGUCUUUGACUCAGUGCAUGCUACUAUGUGAUACAUUUUCAAAGAGUCGAGUUGUUUGGGAAUGCAGCUCAAAAUGGGUGGUAAAUUUCAUCUAAGGCUAAAUAUUGGCGAGAGACCGAUAGCGAACAAGUACCGUGAGGGAAAGAUGAAAAGAACUUUGAAAAGAGAGUUAAACAGUGCGUGAAAUUGUUGAAAGGGAAACGCUUGACACCAGUCAUGCGAGCGGAAAAUCAGUCUUUUGCAGUGGGGGGUUGUGUGGGAUCGGACCGCAAGGCCGGCCUAUGCUGCAUCUCUGCUGUAAGUGAUGCACUUUUUCGUUUGCAGGCCAACAUCAGUUUCUUCUGCUGGACAAAACUCUUGAGAAGGUAGCAGCUUUGGCUGUGUUAUAGCUCUUGAGCGAUACAGUGGAGGGGACUGAGGUUUUCGCAGCGCGUGCUUUCGGGCAAGGCUGAUUGGGUGCUAUGGGAUCGUUCGGUGUACAAUGCAUGCAUUUUGCGCCGUGUCUUUUCUGUACUCGCUCAACUCGGCUCUUCCGCGCUUAGGAUGUUGGCUUAAUGGUUUUAAUCGACCCGUCUUGAAACACGGACCAAGGAGUCUAACAUAUAUGCAAGUGUUUGGGUGGCAAACCCAUGCGCGUAAUGAAAGUGAACGUAGGUGCCAUCCGCAAGGUGCAGCAUCGACCGAUCUUGAUAUUUUUGGAUAGAUUUGAGUAAGAGCAUAUAUGCUGGGACCCGAAAGAUGGUGAACUAUGCCUGAAUAGGGUGAAGCCAGAGGAAACUCUGGUGGAGGCUCGUAGCGAUUCUGACGUGCAAAUCGAUCGUCAAAUUUGGGUAUAGGGGCGAAAGACUAAUCGA
rnacentral:rRNA from 1 species